rnacentral:rRNA from 1 species
AAGAGACAGCAGCAGCCGCGGGAAUACGGAGGGUGCAAGCGUUAAUCGGAUUUACUGGGCGUAAAGCGUGCGUAGGCGGCUUCUUAAGUCGGAUGUGAAAUCCCUGAGCUUAACUUAGGAAUUGCAUUCGAUACUGGGAAGCUAGAGUAUGGGAGAGGAUGGUAGAAUUCCAGGUGUAGCGGUGAAAUGCGUAGAGAUCUGGAGGAAUACCGAUGGCGAAGGCAGCCAUCUGGCCUAAUACUGACGCUGAGGUACGAAAGCAUGGGGAGCAAACAGGAUUAGAUACCCCCGUAGUCCUGUCUCUUAUACA